GAUCAUGGCUCAGGAUGAACGCUAGCUACAGGCUUAACACAUGCAAGUCGAGGGGCAGCAUGACGGAAGCUUGCUUUCGUUGAUGGCGACCGGCGCACGGGUGAGUAACGCGUAUCCAACCUGCCCUUGUCCAUCGGAUAACCCGUCGAAAGGCGGACUAACACGAUAUGCAGUUCUCAGCAGGCAUCUAACGAGAACGAAAUAGUGAAGGAGAAGGAUGGGGAGUGCG
rnacentral:rRNA from 1 species